rnacentral:rRNA from 1 species
GACGAACGCUGGCGGCGUGCCUAAUACAUGCAAGUCGAACGCUUUUUCUUUCACCGGAGCUUGCUCCACCGAAAGAAAAAGAGUGGCGAACGGGUGAGUAACACGUGGGUAACCUGCCCAUCAGAUGGGGAUAACACUUGGAAACAGGUGCUAAUACCGUAUAACACUAUUUUCCGCAUGGAAGAAAGUUGAAAGGCGCUUUUGCGUCACUGAUGGAUGGACCCGCGGUGCAUUAGCUAGUUGGUGAGGUAACGGCUCACCAAGGCAACGAUGCAUAGCCGACCUGGGAGGGUGAUCGGCCACACUGGGACUGGAACACGGCCCAGACUCCUACGGGAGGCAGCAGUAGGGAAUCUUCGGCAAUGGACGAAAGUCUGACCGAGCAACGCCGCGUGAGUGAAGAAGGUUUUCGGAUCGUAAAACUCUGUUGUUAGAGAAGAACAAGGAUGAGAGUAAAAUGUUCAUCCCUUGACGGUAUCUAACCAGAAAGCCACGGCUAACUACGUGCCAGCCGCCGCCGUAA